UGGGGAAUAUUGGACAAUGGGCGAAAGCCUGAUCCAGCAAUGCCGCGUGAGUGAUGAAGGCCCUAGGGUUGUAAAGCUCUUUUACCCGGGAUGAUAAUGACAGUACCGGGAGAAUAAGCUCCGGCUAACUUCGUGCCAGCAGCCGCGGUAAUACGAGGGGAGCUAGCGUUGUUCGGAAUUACUGGGCGUAAAGCGCGCGUAGGCGGUUUUUUAAGUCAGAGGUGAAAGCCCGGGGCUCAACCCCGGAAUUGCCUUUGAAACUGGAAAACUAGAAUCUUGGAGAGGUCAGUGGAAUUCCGAGUGUAGAGGUGAAAUUCGUAGAUAUUCGGGAGAACACCAGUGGCGAAGGCGACUGACCGGACAAGUAUUGACGCUGAGGUGCGAAAGCGUGGGGAGCAAACA
rnacentral:rRNA from 1 species